GUCUGCAGCCAUACCACCUUGAAACCCCCUCUUCUUGUCUCAUCUCCGAAGCUAAGCAGGGUCAGGCCUGGUUAGUGCUUGGAUAGAAACUCCCUUUAUCUCUACUCCUGAGAUACAUGUUGGCAAUCA
rnacentral:rRNA from 1 species